rnacentral:rRNA from 1 species
GCGACCCCAGGUCAGGCGGGAUCACCCGCUGAGUUUAAGCAUAUCAAA